UUUAUUUUUAUUUUUUAAUUCUGUUUUCGUUUUAUCUUUUGUUUGGUAUGUAUGGCUUUCACGCUUCACUGACUUGCUUUUGAUGAUUGAUUGUUGUGGUGUUUACACCAUUACUUGUUAAAUGGUAAGAUAUUAUGAUGUGAAAUACCUGUGGAUGCUUUUGGGAAAUUUGGGUUCAUUUGUGUCUGUUAUUUUGUAAUUUGUGAAACUCUAUUUGGAUGGUUGUGAUAGGUCUGGCUUGGUUGGAUUGGGUGACCUGACCCACCCCAUUUAAACCCAUAUGGGUGGUCCCGGUAGGGUAGGGUUCAACCCAAGAACAACCCAUUUACUUCAAUGGGCUAUAUUUUUAGGCCAAACCAGACCCACUACCCACUACACCGGAGUUUUGCUAAGACCAGCACGUCUAACGCUCUGUCCAUGUACACACCAACCACACAGCCAUUGUGGCACACAUAUACAAGAUCCUGACCCUUCAUCAGGUGGACAACAAGGAGUAGAUUCAUGAGCCAAAAAAUCUGGAGGAAUUCAUUUCACAUGGGCCACAUUUUAUAAAGCAAAUGAAUGGCAAAAAAAUUAUUUAUUUUUAUUUUCCACUCAGACCAUCUAUUUCAUAAACUGUGGCACACCUGAUGAGUAGACUGCCGCGAUUUUUGUGCCAAAAUAUCUUCAAAGACUGGCCCACCUGAUGAACUGCUUUGAUCUUGCUUGUGUCUGCCAUAUUGGCUCAUACACUGUGCAAAUGGGCGGCGGUGUAUAUGCCUGGGUUGGCUUAGCAAACCUCUUCCACACCCUUUUGGCCGAAACUAUUUGUUCAAAAUAUUUGAAAAGAACUAAAGAAUGCUGAUUUAAAUCCUUAUGGAUUAUACCCUGCUUCAUAUAUUGCAUCUGUAUUGAUCAAUUGCAUUACUUACAAGUCGGACUCGAGAGAAUUGUGAUGAAUAAGGGUCCACCUGUACUAUCCAUGGAAGAAAGCUGUGCCAGCUGUGCCAAAGAGAUACAAGAACCUCCUCAGCUCAACAUUGAGCCUGCACUUCAACCACCUGUGCCAGCUGCAGACACUGGAGAUUUGUUGGGAUUGAAUGAGAUUAAUCCUGAUACCGCUGUAAUUGAGGAAAGCAAUGCAAUGGCUCUUGCCAUAGUACCACCUGUAAAUGGUGAAGGGUCACUACACCAAAAUCGCACAUCUAUUGGAUUUGAUGAAUUGGUAAACAGUACACAGACUGCUGAAAUUCCAAUUUUGUUGAUUUUUCCUUUUUUCCAAAGGUUGGACUUGGUCUAACAUUUCAGAAUGCACUAUGCCCAUUUGCUUUUAUAUGCAGAAAUGAGGUUGAUCAAAGACUAUAACUUCUGGAGUUGCUUAUCUUCUUAGGCUGAGUGCAAUCGGUACUUAUGUGUCUGGUUCAAUCUUCCCUCAAAGUGAGCUUGUAGAAAUUGAUGUGCACACACAUCUGCAAAUUGAAAAAAUAACAUGUGUUACAGUUACAUCGGGAUGCCUAGUGAUUGGGCAGCAUGAUGGGUCAAUUUGCUGCUUCCAACUUGGCUUACUUGACCAGAGUGCACCAGCAAAUGAAUUAGCUGUGAUCAUUUGUUAGAUCUAGAUAUUCAUAGGAGUUUCUGCUUCGCUCCUUUAACAUGAUUGAAGGCAGUCUUUAGAAAAUGUGAUAGGUGGGGUUGUGGACAAUGCUUGAGUAUGUGAAGCUGGCUUGAAAGCAGUUCAAUCUGGACUUGCAUAGUUUCAGUGAUUCAACUGUUGUCUUGAACUACUUUAUCUGAACUCUACUGCUUCUUCUGCCAACAAGAUUAUGCAUGUCUUUUGUCAUUUCCUGUGGAACUGUUCCUAGUGAUCAUUUUUGUGCAGGCUGAAGAGGAUGAGUGUUAUAUCUUUAUAUCAUCAAUGCUCAG